GAUGAAGAACGUAGCGAAAUGGGAUAAGUAAUGUGAAUUGCAGAAUUCAGUGAAUCAUCGAAUCUUUGAACGCACAUUGCGCCCGCCAGUAUUCUGGCGGGCAUGCCUGUUCGAGCGUCAUUACAACCCUCAGGCCCCCGGGCCUGGCGUUGGGGAUCGGCGGAAGCCCCCUGCGGGCACAACGCCGUCCCCCAAAUACAGUGGCGGUCCCGCCGCAGCUUCCAUUGCGUAGUAGCUAACACCUCGCAACUGGAGAGCGGCGCGGCCACGCCGUAAAACACCCAACUUCUGAAUGUUGACCUCGAAUCAGGCAGGAAUACCCGCUGAACUUAAGCAUAUCAAUAAGCGGAGGA
rnacentral:misc_RNA from 1 species